UAAGUGUAUAUUAGAUGUCAUGUGGUCAGAAGCUCCAGAAUCUAUUAUCCAGGAAACAGAAGCAAUAUGAGUAAGCAAGCAGAGUUUGGAAUUAGAGACAGGACUCUCAGUAAGCAUAGUACCAGCAAAGUUGGCAGCACAUAUAGUAGGGGAUGGCUGAGCAUGAGAAGUCUGAGCAGUGGAUUCACCCAAAUUGGACUGUUGGAGCAGAUUCAUCAACUGAUCAUAAUGAUGUCUGCUCAACCUAGGAAUAGCAGAAUUAUGUCCAUCCACAUGCUGGACAGGAGAAUGACCCUCAAUUCCUGAAGCAGGAGAAUCAUGGCCAGCAGAAUAAGGAGAGGAUGUGAAGUCAACACCAGUAGUGACAUGAGCAACAGUGGGUCUCUUGGCUUUGUUAAACCUGAUACUUUGAGGAAAACCAUGAAGCUUGAAGCACUUAUCAAUUAAGUGUCCAGACUUCUUGCAAUAUCUGCAGAAUAGGGGUCCUCUGGACUGAUCAAAAAUAACUCUCUGGGCAUACUGUCUGGGAGUAGGAGAGUUGAGCAAUGGAGCUGGAUUGAAGGAAGGUUUAGUAUUGACAGUGAAGGACAUAGAAUCAGGAUUGAACUGGGAGACAGACUGAACUUGUCUCUAUUUUUCAUCUAACUCUCUGGGCAUACUGUCUGAGAGGAGGAGAGUUGAGAAAGGGAGCUGGAUUGAAGGAAGGUUUAGUAUUGACAGUGAAGGACAUAGAAUCAGGAUUGAAUUGGGAGACAGACUGAACUUGUCUCUGUUUUUCAUCAUUGAGGAGAAUGUUAUAGACAUUGUCA
rnacentral:lncRNA from 1 species